CGGAAUUACUGGGGGUAAAGGGCGUGUAGGCGGAUAUGUGAGUGGGGGGGGAAAUCCCGGGGCUCAACCUCGGAAUUGCCUUCAAAACUGGAUAUCUUGAGUUCGGGAGAGGUGAGUGGAACUCCGAGUGUAGAGGUGAAAUUCGUAGAUAUUCGGAAGAACACCAGUGGCGAAGGCGACUCACUGGCCCGAUACUGACGCUGAGGCGCGAAAGCGUGGGGAGCAAACAGG
rnacentral:rRNA from 1 species